GCUACUACCGAUUGAAUGGUUUAGUGAGGACUCCUGAUUGGCGCCGCCGCCCCGGCAACGGAGUAGCGGACUGCCGAAAGGUUGUUCAAACUUGAUCAUUUAGAGGAAGUAAAAGUCGUAACAAGGUUUCCGUAGGUGAACCUGCAGAAGGAUCAAGAACGGAAGCGCGUCGGGAAGGGGAGGAGAGUAGAUUUGGGGCGUUGCCGUUGAAUAAAAACAAAACAAACACCAAACGUACGUGGGAGCUAUUAGACAUCGACAAUAACGCGCUAGCGAC
rnacentral:misc_RNA from 1 species